rnacentral:rRNA from 1 species
CCUACGGGUGGCAGCAGUCGAGAAUCAUUCACAAUGGGGGAAACCCUGAUGGCGCGACGCCGCGUGGGGGAAUGAAGGUCUGCGGAUUGUAAACCCCUGUCAUGUGGGAGCAAAUUAAAAAGAUAGUACCACAAGAGGAAGAGACGGCUAACUCUGUGCCAGCAGCCGCGGUAAUACAGAGGUCUCAAGCGGUGUUCGGAAUCACUGGGCGUAAAGCGUGCGUAGGCUGUUUCGUAAGUCGUGUGUGAAAGGCGGGGGCUCAACCCGCGGACGGCACAUGAUACUGCGAGAACUGAGUAAAUGAGGGGGAACCGGAAUUCUCGGUGUAGCAGUGAAAUGCGUAGAUAUCGAGAGGAACACUCGUGGCGAAGGCGGGUUCCUGGACAUUAACUGACGCUGAGGCACGAAGGCCAGGGGAGCGAAAGGGAUUAGAUACCCUGGUAGUC